rnacentral:rRNA from 1 species
CCCCGGUAAACGGCGGCCGUAACUAUAACGGUCCUAAGGUAGCGAAAUUCCUUGUCGGGUAAGUUCCGACCUGCACGAAUGGCGUAAUGAUGGCCAGGCUGUCUCCACCCGAGACUCAGUGAAAUUGAACUCGCUGUGAAGAUGCAGUGUACCCGCGGCAAGACGGAAAGACCCCGUGAACCUUUACUAUAGCUUGACACUGAACAUUGAGCCUUGAUGUGUAGGAUAGGUGGGAGGCUUUGAAGUGUGGACGCCAGUCUGCAUGGAGCCGACCUUGAAAUACCACCCUUUAAUGUUUGAUGUUCUAACGUGGACCCGUAAUCCGGGUUGCGGACAGUGUCUGGUGGGUAGUUUGACUGGGGCGGUCUCCUCCUAAAGAGUAACGGAGGAGCACGAAGGUUGGCUAAUCCUGGUCGGACAUCAGGAGGUUAGUGCAAUGGCAUAAGCCAGCUUGACUGCGAGCGUGACGGCGCGAGCAGGUGCGAAAGCAGGUCAUAGUGAUCCGGUGGUUCUGAAUGGAAGGGCCAUCGCUCAACGGAUAAAAGGUACUCCGGGGAUAACAGGCUGAUACCGCCCAAGAGUUCAUAUCGACGGCGGUGUUUGGCACCUCGAUGUCGGCUCAUCACAUCCUGGGGCUGAAGUAGGUCCCAAGGGUAUGGCUGUUCGCCAUUUAAAGUGGUACGCGAGCUGGGUUUAGAACGUCGUGAGACAGUUCGGUCCCUAUCUGCCGUGGGCGCUGGAGAACUGAGGGGGGCUGCUCCUAGUACGAGAGGACCGGAGUGGACGCAUCACUGGUGUUCGGGUUGUCAUGCCAAUG